rnacentral:rRNA from 1 species
GGUGAGUAACACGUGGGCAACCUGCCUAGCAGACUGGGAUAACUCCGGGAAACCGGGGCUAAUACCGAAUAACAUCGAAAGCUUCAUGGUUUUCUUUUGAAAGGCGGCUUCGGCUGUCACUGCUAGAUGGACCCGCGGCGCAUUAGCUAGUUGGUGAGGUAACGGCUCACCAAGGCCACGAUGCGUAGCCGACCUGAGAGGGUGAUCGGCCACACUGGGACUGAGACACGGCCCAGACUCCUACGGGAGGCAGCAGUAGGGAAUCUUCCGCAAUGGACGAAAGUCUGACGGAGCAACGCCGCGUGAGUGAAGAAGGUUUUCGGAUCGUAAAACUCUGUUGUCAGGGAAGAACAAGUAUCGGAGUAACUGCCGGUACCUUGACGGUACCUGACCAGAAAGCCACGGCUAACUACGUGCCAGCAGCCGCGGUAAUACGUAGGUGGCAAGCGUUGUCCGGAAUUAUUGGGCGUAAAGCGCGCGCAGGCGGCCUUUUAAGUCUGAUGUGAAAGCCCCCGGCUCAACCGGGGAGGGUCAUUGGAAACUGGAAGGCUUGAGUGCAGAAGAGAAGAGCGGAAUUCCACGUGUAGCGGUGAAAUGCGUAGAGAUGUGGAGGAACACCAGUGGCGAAGGCGGCUCUUUGGUCUGUAACUGACGCUGAGGCGCGAAAGCGUGGGGAGCGAACAGGAUUAGAUACCCUGGUAGUCCACGCCGUAAACGAUGAGUGCUAAGUGUUGGGGGGUUUCCGCCCCU